ACGUAGGGGGCAAGCGUUGUCCGGAAUUAUUGGGCGUAAAGCGCGCGCAGGCGGUCAUUUAAGUCUGGUGUUUAAUCCCGGGGCUCAACCCCGGAUCGCACUGGAAACUGGGUGACUUGAGUGCAGAAGAGGAGAGUGGAAUUCCACGUGUAGCGGUGAAAUGCGUAGAGAUGUGGAGGAACACCAGUGGCGAAGGCGACUCUCUGGGCUGUAACUGACGCUGAGGCGCGAAAGCGUGGGGAGCAAACAGGA
rnacentral:rRNA from 1 species